AAACAUUAAUCAGGAUGACCCAGCCAAUCUAAUCAUGGCAUAGGGUAUAUAAAAUCUAUAUUCAGAUACAUAUGAUCAACAGAAAUAUCAAACUGUCAUUUUAUCAUCUCUAGAGUAGAUUGACGCGGAAGGAAGACUGUUGGCAACCUACAGAUUCAAGCUUGGAAAAGAUAAACGUUCCGGUUUAACUGCCCGAGUUUCCCUUUUCAACCUUGAACUUUAGAGAUUCCGACCCUGGCACCGAAUAAAAACAGCGGCGGUGGUGCACACCUGUGUAGGUGGCAGGAGGAUUAAAAAGCUCAAGAUAGACCUCUGCGGCAUAACUACCUCGAGAACAAGAAACUGCCUCUAAAUAAAACAAUCAUAAAAUUCUA